UUUCAUGUCUGGUGAUCCUCCAAAAAGGAGAUAGCCAAGCCUUGACAGUCCCAUAGUGUUGCAUGAAGCAGCGGACACGCAUGUCACCAUGUAGCCCCAGCCUAAUGGCUCAUGCACACAAGCUUUUUUUUCGUUCCGUGUCCAUUACGUUUUUUUGCGGACCAUAUGCGGAACCAUUCAUUUCAAUGGGUCCGCAAUAUAAACGGAAGUUACUCCGUGUGCAUUCCGUUUCCGUAUGUCCAUUCCACAAAAGAAUAGAACAUGUCCUAUUAUUGUCCGCAUUACGGACAAGGAUAGGACUGUUCUAUUAGGGGUCAGCUUCCGUUCCACAAAAUACGGAAUGCACACGGACGUCAUCCGUAUUUUUUGCGGCCCAUAAAGUACAUAGAGUUGUGGACAGGACAAACUAACGAGAACGUGGAAAGUAUUUGUCCCUAUGAUCACUACAUUCUCACAUAUCUUCAAUAACGAGUUACAGUUCUAUGACUACGAUUUUGGAGAACAGAUUAGGCUCAGUGCACGCUGCACCUCUGCCCUCCAUCAGCGGUAUACGUUAGGAAGAUUUUCAUACAUACUCUGUAUAUCUAAAGGCUCCAGCCUAUGUCACUGUAUAAGCAUACGUCACCCAUUGGAUCCUAUUCUAAGAAAAUUUGCUGAGACCCUCUGCAUAGAGAAGUGCAGUUUGCUGUCAUUUCCUACCCAGUUGCAAAAAAGGUACAUCGACACAUACUGGCCUGACACAUACCAUGAAUAUACAUCAAACGUACGGCUCGAAUGCAACCUGUACUGUUCCUAACUUUAUAAUUAGCAAAUUUUAAUGUCCUCUUAAAAUUAUUCCAAAAACCACAUGAAGCUGCUGCACCUUAAAGGUUUUUUUUUUAAUAUUCCUGACCUAGGUUCUCUGGAAGAUGUGCAUCCUGUAAAUUAAAGAGUUAAAAAAAAAUCCUACAGGGAGUAAAAACCUGUUCCUCCAAGUGGAGUGCUCUUUAAUGUGUGCUUUUAACGCUUUCCUCUCCAGAGCGAACAGCUUGGGCUGGGUUCACGUCACGUUUUUCCCAUCCGUUUAACGUAUACAAAAAACCUAUUUGUAUCCUCAGACUGAUACCAUACAGAUUCGUUUACCGUAGAGGUUCAUA